GCAUAACUAAGAGGAAUAGGAAUAAGUUGUCACCCAAAAGUCCUUGCAUCUGGCACACGGACAACGCACAGCAACAUCGCGCUUAGUAUUAAGCGCGCUAGAGCCUCUUAGUCUAUGUGUUAGUUACAAAUCUUACUGUUGUAAUUUGCAUCUUUUAAUAAAAUUUAAAUUUAUCAUCUACCUACGACUCUAGCUAGCACCCCACAUUAUGAAUCUAUUUUGUCGCUAUUGCCUUAAUAGAUCAAAAUUAUCUCUAAACACAUUCAGCCCAAUCUGGUCCUUUCAGCCCAGAUAUGGGUACAAAAAGUUGCUCUGUCGUCAUGGCCAGAGUUCAACCACGCGUUAGGGUCUAAAAGCA
rnacentral:lncRNA from 1 species